CCUGUCACGCACCCCUUUAUUAAAGGUGAACACAAUUGGUUUGGUUUACUUUUCGCAUCGGCCUGUGUCAAUCGAGGUUGAGUUUAGUGAGGGUUGAAAGUUUUCGAUCUAGAUUGCAGAUCACUAUUGUCACUUUAUACAAACUGAAAGUAUGCGUUGUUGAGUGUUUGUUUUUGUGGGCAUUUGACUGAACAGCCCAGACAAAUAUUGCUACCAACAUGGCACUUCGAAACAGACCACCGCAGUGAGUAAAAGUUAUUUUCCUUUAUUAAAUGUUGAUGUUUUUGGGCUGUCUCCUCAGACACAAGCCAUCAGUAUCCCUGCUCUUUGCACCUUGACAUGCAUGUCACCGCUGUUUGUUAACCUAGCUUUGCUGAUUUGUAUCUUGUGUGUGUGUGUGUGUGUUUUUCUUAACAGGUGUUAGAUGACUGACAAGAUCUAUGGGGGGGCCCCCUUUGGGCCCCCCCAUACCAACUUAGUCUUCAAAGGAAUCUAGUGCCAUGGGACUCCAGUGUCUUCAAAACAUCCUCGGAAUACAUGUGUAUGAAUGGUCCACCGAAGGGUUGAUCUGGAAGCCACCACGGUCCACGCAGUAAUCUGCUGCGUGGGCCGUAGUGGCUUCCAGAGCCAUCUUUCGGUCUUGGUCAGGAUUUGUUAAAGUUGCCCUUCAAUGUAGCAGGCUACGGGUUUCUGAAGAAGCCUGCUUUACGUAGCAUUGGAGUACAAAUAUUGUGCAAAAUGCUCAUGUAAUUGCACUAGCACUGGUAACCUGUAGAUUAGCUUAGUUUAACGUCAUUCGGUGCUGUCUGUCAAAUGUGUGGCUUACUUUAAGUCCACAAGGCCCUCUGGUAAACCACGUUGGAACACCCCUGGACAAGGUGAUUAGUCACUGGGUGUGUGCUAAAGUUUUGUUCCAUUUUUCACUAGUUGGUUAAGGUUUGGUAGAAUUGUUUGGAUGCUAGCGACGUGAUGGCGUAUGUACAAGAGCCUACCGUGGCCAGGCCACAGUUGCGACGGCCACGACCAGAUGGCCUAGUGUGAGUGCAACCUUGAUUGCAUUUGUAUACUGUUUACCAUUGGAUGUUUAUGCAAUUUGGCUUAAUUCAUCCGCUGUAAAGCUGCAUUUGACUAUUCCAGGGUCGUUUUGUACAGGCUUUCAAUUGACCAUGUUGACUAGUUUGUGGCAAGUUUUUUUUUUUUUACCCUUGCUUACAAUCCAACGGUUGCGACCACUUAUGCAACUGGGCUGUGAACCUUGCAAUUUUAGUUGCAUAUUUGUACACAAAACCUAAAAUAAAAAACCUAAAAUAAAGCAAAAUGCGUGUCUGGUGUGCAAGAGCCAAUUUGUUGGCUUGCAGUAGUCGAGGAGUUGCCGUAGGUUGUAAGCCAUCUGGAGGUUGUGGCAAUGGAGGCUUGUGGUAGAUCUGCCAUCCAAGAAAGGUUAAUUCUUCUGAAGCAUGUGUUACGACCCAGGGUCGUAUGUGUAUUUUGCAGUGUUGUACGGAUUUCGUCUGUGCUGUGGUUCCUCCCAGCCUGAGGGUGGUGCUACCACCAUUGGUGUCUCUCCAGGUGCUGGCUGUCGAUUGGUGCAGGGGCUGGAGGAGCUACUAUAAAUGGGCCGCUGGAGACAAUCACGCUCUUUCUCUUGACCCUGCUUCCAACUGCACCAGGGACUUGACUGGUGAGUCUUCUGGAUUAAUCAGUAGCGGUACUUUGCCCAACAGAUUUGAUGGCAUGACUACAGGUUGGUGGUUCAACACUGAUCUCUCUCUAGGCUUGAGGGAGAGCUCACAAGUAAAUUACACGACUGUCCUGGAGCAAUUGGGAAUACACUUUUAUUUAGUCUACCUGACCAGGGACAUCUUUGAACUAUAGGUCACCUAACCCAAACUUUUCACUCUUGUUAGGUUGUCAUUUUCUCUUGUUUUAACCCGAAAGGGCUGAAAAUAUCAACAUUUCAGGUAUUCUGUUUGGAUAAUGUGCAAAACUUGUGGCUUCACUAAUAAAAAAAAUUAACGAAUGUAUUUUUCUUAAUGUGGAUAAACUAUUUAAAGAUUUGAAUGCAAAAUAUUUCUGCUCAAUUUGUGGACAAUGAAACUCAAAUUUUUUAACUUUGAUAAAACACAACUAUGGGUUAAAGGUAUUUGCUUUGGGCAUCUUUUGAUAUUUUUAGAAUCUAGCUCAUUGCCGUUAGAAAUGGUGUCUCCCAGUACUGCAAAGUGCUUCCACAAGUUAAAAAAUGGGCAGAAAAGGAACUGCCAAAUAAAUCUAUUUAACAUGGGUAGAAAGUUUCCAUGGAAGCUCUUGGCUGCUGGUUCCCAACACAGCUCCACUGUUAGCCUGUGACCUUGCGUUUAACUUUUUUGGACUUUUGGUGACUUUCACAAAAGAAAUGAACUUGUUAAUACAAUAAACAAGACAUUUGAAACUUCAGCUACAUUUUUAUCUAUUUGUACUGCCUUUGAUUUCAACCCGUGACAUGUUUGUCAGGUGAUAACUAUGUACCUCUGACCGCAUAUCAUGGUACCAUUUUGAACUGUUUGUGGAUAUUGCAUCAAAUCCAUAUGCUUGAAAC
ensembl:lncRNA